AUUCAAACCAAUAAGAAAACACGAUUUUGACACAUCCUCUGUAAACAUUAAAAAUUAAAAAUCGGAUCUGGGCCUUACAAAAUUUCCACCGAAUCAUUUAAGUUAAAGCCCACAAUGACCUACCACUUUCCUAUCUCCUUCGUUGCUUCAAUCUCUUUCAUCCCUAACUCUGCUGAUUUCUGUUUACGUUUCACCUCCAUUCACUCCUCCUCAUUCAAUUCCAUCCUUCAAUCCUAUUUUCAUGAGAGAACCCAUAUCAUUUCACCUCCCUUUGUUUCUACUGUUAUAUAAACCUCCUCCUCCUCGAAUCUCACUUCGAUCCACUUUCUAUGACCUCAUUCAUCUAAUGGUGCUCCAUGAUAUGAGCCUCAACUCAAACCAGGCAGUAGGUUGGAAGCUCUCAGAAAAUGGUGAAACCAGUUUCACAGUCCACAUAUCAGAUUUCUCAUAGGUUUGCAUAAGCAAUCGGAAGAGCAAUCAUCAGAAUCUCUUGAUCAGCCAUGGCUUGUGCUCUUUAAUCUGAUGCUCGCCAUUUACGAGAAGAAGAUGAACUCACUCGAUCACUACCGUCCUCUCCGCUACUACAUUGCUUUCACUUACUCCGAGCGCAAACCUCCACUUCGAUAUAGACCGUGUCAGUCAACGAUCCAUCUCCCUCCGCCCGGAAAGACCUUCUCAUCUCUUAUUACAAAGCUCUCUGCCUUUUGGAGACACGAUUCCCAAUCUCCCCCGAGAAACAUUACGUCAACCUCUUUCCAAUGGUAUGAUGCCCUCAAGCAAAAGCAAAAAGGCACUCAUCAGAACAUUCAUUUUGAGAAAGCAGCCGUUCUCUCAAUACCUUCAAUUUCUGCCAGGUUUGAUGUUUAUGUAUUUUAAUUUUACUGGAACGAUAUUGCUUUUGAUGAAAAACAUUUGACUUUGGUUUAGAUACUGAGACCUUUUGUAUCUUUAUUUUUAUAUUUAUGUCUUUCAGUAUCAUAAUAUAGAGAUUGAUCAUCGAUAUCUUUGUAUAAAUUUUGGGAAAAUGUAGCAAUAUACAUGUUUCGAGUAAUCAUCAGCUUCAGUACCCAAACUUAACAGACGCAGAGCAGAGAGGUGAGAAUUUGAUUUUUCUGUAACCAUCAGCUUCUAUACAUGUCUCUUCCUUGUCACUGUAAAGGCUGUGAAGGCAAAGUGAAUAAACAUCUAUCUUGAAUGCAAAGGUCAAUCUCUUCUUAUCAACAACUUUCAAUAUAUAUUAUCCAGAAGUCAUGAAAAGAUCAAUUGGAAAAAGACUAUUGUCGUUUACUGCAGCUCACUCUCAGAAAUUAAAAGGAUCUUUUGGCUUUGUGGGAUUAAAUUAUUACAGUGCCUGUCAAUGUCGUGGAUCAUAACACUCCAAACUGGAGAUCCGACGCACGCAUUGAAUGGAAAAAACAAAACAAAGCUGGAGAAGUUUUGGGUUCGAGAGGUGGUUUAGAAUGAGACUUUUUACACCGCAAGGGUUAAGAAAAUUUCUAAAUUAUGCAAAAAGCAAAUACAGAAACCCAAAUUUAUGAUAAUUGGACACUGUGAUAUAUAGUAUGAAAAGAAAGCUAAACUCUCGAAUCUGAUGGAUGUUCAGAGGAAAGAGUACCACGAAAAACAUCUCCAAAGCAUCCACCAAGCCAUCAAGGAGGAUGGAGGAUGGUGUUCAGGUAGAUGGAUACUAUGCAUGAUCAUUACUUGACAAGUGCGAAUAAAACGCUGGUUAUGGUGUUAUGUACGGUCUAUUCUACCUAGACUACAACAACGGUUUAAAACGUAAUCCAAGAAUAUGGGCAAUGUGGUGCAAAGAGUUUUUGAAGAAAUAAGAGAUUGAAGAUUCAGAGUAAGAAGAGUUGAUGUUGAACUGUGUUGCUAACAAGAAUAUGAAGAGAUUCUCAACGUCGUCGGGUUCGCUUUCCUGUUUUAUACAUAUGUUUUCUUUGCAUUUAGAAAAGUACGAGAGUUAUGAGUUUAUGAUCAAGAGAUACCUGAGAAUCAUCUUUAGUGGGCAAUAUACAGUUGAAUUAUAUCCAUAUUGGUUUGGUCACUAUAGACAGGAAUUGGGUCUGACCAUCAUUUUAAA